CUUCUCUUCCUGGCCCCGAGCCUGUGCGCUUGCUGCAAUCGAUUACCAGCAAUUUCCUUCCCAAACCAGAGGGUUCAGUGAACUCUAAAUUGAAUUGUUGCUCACUGGUCUCCUUUGGACCGGUGCGCACGGCUUACGUGCAGAAUGGCCAAGCCACUUAGUUCCCAAAUCUCGAGGCUGAUGAUUCUGGUUACACACAGGGGAGGACUCUCUGAGUGACAUUUCCUAUUUCUGCACACAGUGGCCUGGGGCUGUGGCCAUCCUUGGGUUUCUCAAUAUCAAGCCCAGGGUGAGGGGCAGGGGGCGAGUCACCUCGCGAAGGGCAGGCUCCUGCGGUGUUCGCAGCGCCCUUCCUUCUGGUCCAGUUGCUGCACCCACGGCCUCAGAUGAAGCACAGAGACCUCGGCACGGGCCGUAUCGCCGGAUCAUUGGGAGGGCGACUUCAGACUUUGUUUGUUAAAGAUUUCAUUUAUUCAUUUGAGAGAAAGAGAGCGAGCACGAGCAGGGGAGGGGCAGAGGGAGACGCAGCCGCCCCGCGGAGCCGGGAACCCGACGUGGGGCUCGAUCCCGGGACCCUGAGGUCAUGACCUGAGCCGAGGGCAGACGCUUCGCUGUCGAGCCCCCCAGGCGCCCCUCAGGCAGCUUUUCAAAGUAAAGCAAAGUCCCAGAUGAAGCAGAGCCUGUGGGUUUGGCCUGCGGUUCCGUCAUUUCUCUGACGGGUUCCUAGUCGUCCUUUCAGAGGAGACCCACAUGUCCCCAUCCAGGAACUGGGCCCACGCUGCCCCGGCCUCACGCUUUGCACACACUCUGCUUAUCACGCUAUCGCGUUUCGUUGCGUUUAUCCGCUUGCGCAGGGCCCUCUUCCACACGCCUUCCGGCCCCGAGCUCCAGGGCGAGGGGCCCAGUCCUCGUUCACCGCCGCCCGCGUUCCCACACCCGGAGUAAGGCACAGGAGGUGCUCAGUAAGAGGACGGAGGACAACGGCAGCCCCGUGGGAAGGCCUCCCGCGGCUGCGUGGGCUGGUCCCGCGGCGUGUCUCCGCCCUCCGUGGUGGCUCGACAGGACAGGACCGUGAGCGCUGGCUGCUUCCCUCUCCUGAAAACAAGAACAAAAACCAAAACCGAAGAAAAGUCAGAAGGUCCCACUACUCGGCACUAACCCGAUCGCUGCUGUUGAUCAAACUGCUCAAUUGGAAGCGAAGACUCUAAAAUAAGAAAGAGGUGGCGGGCAUGCCUCGCCCCGGUGACUUGGGGUCACUGCUUGAAACUGUUUGAGUCCUUGCAUUUUCUGUUUCUUUGAGAGACAUUCCCCGUUUCGACCAGGACUCAUGCUUACAGACCUCUUUCGCAAACCUCUUUGGCGCUGGGCAGGGCUCUUUGCUUUUAUUUCUGGAAGAGAUCUCCUCUCUAUUAUUACCACAGCGAGAAAGUGUUGGAAAAAAAAAAAAAGUUUUCAAAGAAAGUAUUUCAAAAUACGUAUGGUUCGGCCUGUCGGUGUGACACCCACACGUCUUGGCCAAGUAGGUGUGGAGCUGGACCUCAAAGCUUUGAGGGGAAUCCUACGGUAUUUCACUUCUAAAAAGGCCUUAGAGCUUUUUUUUUUUAAAGAUUUUAUUUAUUUAUUCAUGAGAGACACAGAGAGAGGCAGAGACACAGGCAGAGGGAGAAGCAGGGUCCCCGUGGGGAGUCUGACGCGGGACUCGAUUCCGGGACCCCGGGGUCACGACCAGAGCCGAAGGCACACACUUGACCCCUGAGCCCUCCCAAGCGUCCCAGGCCUUAGAUCUUUAUUUAACCCCCAGUGGGCGGCCCGUGGACCUGCUGAGGAAAUGGGCAAGUGAACCUCAUGGGAAGCUUCGCUGGGGCUCGCGUGAACAUCCCUAGUUAGGGAAAGGACCUUUCGCAUUUUCUUUUUUCCCAGAAAAGCCUGGAACAAUGUUCUGCUCGCCCACCUUUGCUCCGAUAAACCCAUGCAGCAGGUACAACGGACCCCGGUGGUCUCCUCGGCUGCCCGCCGGGCCCAGACAGGGAGGGAGCCGGCCCCACGUCGCGGGACCACGUGGGCGGGGCGGAGUCGCUCUGUUUCAGCUCUGCCUGGGCAUCCCGGGGGCUGGGAUACAGACGUAACAUUCUUCUCCUUUGCAGAGCUUCGGCUCUUGUCCAUCAGGCCUUGGCGGGGAGAGGCGGAUUGCUCUGGUACCCAACUCCUCAAGCCCGUGCUUAGACCAAAAUUCCAGAUUGAACAGAGCAUUAGGGACCUCAGGAUGGACCGGCGUUUCCCGGGCGCCAACUACCCCUCCUCCACCACCAUAGCACCACCGGGGCCACCCAAGGGGCAGCUCACUUAAACGAGUGCUUGUCAUGUACCGGGCACUGCGUAGGGACCCAGAUCCUUGAUUUCAUGUCAUCUUCACAGCUUCAGGAAGUGGGUGUGACGAUCCCGAGGCUCGGAGGAGUCGGCUAUUUUAGGAAACAAGCAUUUGUGGAGAGGAUGGGCUGCUGUGCUGGGUCUGGGGACGCGGCGGUAAGUCAAGUGCACGUUGUCCUUCCUCUAGGAAGUGGGUGCUGGUCUCGUGAGUGUGGCAGGGCCAAGGCCAGAGUCUCCGUUGGCCUGGUUCGAGCUUGCCUUAAACCCAGCACACAGUUCCCGAGUCUAAGACACUGGGACCCUCGCGGGGAUCCCGCCCCAUCGGCCUGGACACUGGGUGCAGAAUGUGGACUGAGUUUGUCCUCCUAACGGUGCAGCGCCGGGACGUGGGAACGCCCUCGGGCACGGACCACGUCCGUCUUCUGCUGGGCACCGUGGGCCCCAAGUCCACCUGGGUUGGAUGGAGGCGCACCGGCCCCUGCGUUCUGGCCUCAGUCUUCUGCUCUCGGUGAAGGCACACGGAGCCCCAUGUGCUGGGACCGGCUACAGAGGAAGUCCUCCAGCCCGUCACCCCAUGAGGAGCCCGAGGUCACGGAUCUGGGACCCGACAGAGCCUCCUGACCCUCCAUGACAAGGCAUCGCCCUCAUUGCGUUUGAGGCCAAGGAGACUCAGGGAGCUGGAGUGACUCUCUCAGGCCACCGGCCCUACAACUAGUAGGCGACGAGAAAUCCGCCCCCGCGGGACAGGCCCCCGGGCCGAAGAGGAGAGGGCGGUCCACACACUUUCUUCUCUCCAUCCUGAACCCCAGUGGAGAAAGGCGGUAACGAGGGGAUGCCCGUGGGAGGCCCCAGGCCCCAGCAGGAGCAACGUUCUGAGCUCUGGGCUCAGGAGGAGCCAAGUUCGAAUCCCGGCCCAGCCGAAGCGCCUUCUUGGGAUCCUGAGCCGUUUCCCUGAGUGCGGUGCGUCAGCUUUCCCGCCUGUGAGAGGGGAGGUGAUGCCGCGUCCCCACAUUGCUGGCCACGAGGAGAGAGCGGAGCGAGGACAUCCCACAGCUGGGGGCACACUUGGGGGGGCUCGCAAAUCCCUCUCCCUUUUUCCUUUCUGCCCAGAGUCUGUGCCGCGCGGUGGCCGGCUCGUUGGCAGCGUUGCUCCGUGCACGCCGAGGGCGUCUUCCAGGGCUGGGAGCCGUGGACACACAGCGGACACGGGGGGAGGACCUCGGAGGCUUGACGGGGUCUGAGGGACAUGCCUACGGAGCUUAAAUUCCUCCCGGGUGGUUCGAGGGCAGUUCCAGGCCCCGGGGGGGCUGCUCAGUGUGCCCGGCCUCGCUGGGCCUUGCAGCUCGGAGCUGCUGCGACCUGGCAGCCUGGGGGCUCGCGUCCUGGGUAGGCCCACAGGUAACUACGGCCCAAGCAGGGAAACGUGUGACCAUGAAAGGAGCAGCUGUUACAAAUCUCCGCUGGACAGCAGGGGUACACAGCACCGGUUCAGGCCAGGGGGUGGGUUUUGCAUACCCAGGUGCACAGGUGGGCCCCAGGCUCUGCGUGGCUGAGGAGCCUUCGCGCUCACCUGGUUUCCAAGGUUUGAAUCACGUCAGUUUUUCCCUCUUCAGCCAGCGACUCUGUCGUGGAGGCAAGGACCUUCUGGAAGGAAGGACGGAGGCCAUGGCACGGGGCACAUGUAGAGAACACGUCAGCCGCACACGAAGAGACAGAUGAAAGCCAGAGGGCAAGCCGCUGCAGAAUCCAGAAAAUCCUCCGGCUCCCCGCCCCCCGCCCCCUGAGCUCCCACAUUCGCCCUGGGCCCCCAGCAGGCGGGCCUGCAGCCUCCUCCUGGCCGCCAGCUGUAGGGAAGGCACGGGCCGCGGAAAGGCCGGCCAGAUGCAGCCCACAGACAACCCAGACUAAAUUUCGUGCUCUCAGGGGCCGGCUCUGAUGUUCCAGACCCACGGGGGUGAAGAUUAAAGGGAGCACUUCAUCCCUGCAUCCUGCAGGUGCCAAGCGAGCCUCCGGAAUGCCUCUGGGGCAGGACGCUGCGGCCGCUGGGGCCAACAUGCAGAGGACAUCCCUGAGGGGGACGGGGCCCCGGGCAGGAGCAGCAGCACAGUCUGGGAGCUUGAAGGGCCCUUAGACGUGCUGGGGGCAAAGAGGAAGGGGCCCUGGGCUUCUCACCGGGGCAUCUGGGUUUCCCCUCUGCUACAGAGAAUCUCAGUGCCCGCCCGCCCCCGGGAAGCAGGCCUAUCGCGUCCCCUGUCCAGGGUCUUUGAAGGUAAAAUGAUGUAGUGGACAUGGUGUGGCUUGCGGAUUGCACCUGCCAGGUGGCGUCCUAACUGGAGACCCUCAAUCCAAACCCCUGAAUUCACAGGUGGGAAUCUGGGGUCCAGGGGGGUCAACAGGUGUGGCCCGGUGUGGACGACUCCCUUUACUGAGAGAGAGGUCGACGGCCCGUGUGUGAUGGGGGGGGUGUGGCUGAGAAGGGAAAAAUCUGAGAAAAAGAGACAACCAGGUACAAAUGAAGAAGGAAAAACACAUUAGUUCAAAUCUCUGCUAGAUGAGGUGAGAGAAAUGAUCCCAUGGUGGUUCUCUAAGGGAGGGGGAUCGUCCACAUGUUUUAUUCCGCGCCAUCGGGGACACGGACUGGCGUGAUCUCAUCCGGCUGAGCCAUUCUCUUCACAAAGACGCUCCUUUGGCCUGAGCGCCCCGCUCGGGCUCCAGUAUAGUUGAUGGGCCUGGCCGGGUUGGCAAAGGAUGUGAAGGCCACAGAGGGCCUUUUCUUCUCCUCCUUCUCCUUCUCCUUCUUCUUAUUAGAGAUUUUAUUUAUUUAUUUCACAGAGAGAGAGAGAGAGAGGGAGAGCAAGCAGGGGGGGCAGAAGAGG